CUUGGUAUAAGUUCUGGGGUCUCAUUCUUGACAAGAACGACUCCAGGGCCUAUGGAGAAUCCGGUAAUCAUCAGUAAAGUUCUCAUUUUGUAUAAUGCAAAAACUUACAUUUGCCAUUCUUAUCACAGCAUCGUAUGCGAUCCUCUACGUUGUGCCUGUGAUUUUCAUAGCUUUCUUCGGCAGCAUCUACAUGAAAUACAUCAAGAUGUUAAGGUAAAGCCUUGAAACAUUAACUUACUUGUCAUCUCCGGGAAUGCUUUCAGGCUGCCAGACUCCAUACGCAACGCUUGGUCUCGUCCAGCACUGAUCAAAGCGCCAAUACUCUCGCUCAUUUCUGGAGUAGAGCUCUUUGUUCUAGCGGCAUUCGUACUCCUGUGUGCAUGGUCGACAUGGCGGCCGAUAAAAACUUUGCUGGACAAGAUCCAUGAUCCUGGACAGCAGUGGAUUGAAGGAUCCCUGUAAGAUCACGAUGACAACUUCACAAAGUCAAGUUUUUGAUCGAAAUACCUUCGGUUUUUUUUUUCUUUAUAGGUGGCUCAGAAGAUGUGAAAUCAUUGGAUACGAGCUUGGUUAUGCUGGACUCGUCCCGUUCGCUUUCCUGUUCUUCCCAGUCGCAAGAACCUCCUCAAUUCUCCACUUGGUGAACAUU
rnacentral:lncRNA from 1 species